CCAAUGUGGAUACCCCAGACAGUUAAGCCUCCCCGGGCUCUAUCCGGGUGACCUAAGGGAGAAUAGGGCUCCGCUUCCCAUGACGUAGAGUCCCUUCCAAAACGUUCCUGAUGAAACUGAGCCUUCAGCCUGCGCUUGCACAUUCCUAUUUCUCAGAGUCCUGUGGACAAUGAGGAAAAAAAUCAUGCAGGAAACAAUU
ensembl:snoRNA SNORA73 Small nucleolar RNA SNORA73 family